UUUAUAAAAGCAAGCAAAAACAGAAUCACACCUCUAGAACUCUCUACAACUGUGUUUGUUGUUCGUCACCACCAUCUUUCGAAAGAAAAAAAAACAUGGGUCGCUUAAGUCGUACUAUCUACGUUGGUAACCUUCCUGGCGAUGUUCGUGAAAGAGAAGUGGAAGAUUUGUUUUACAAGUAUGGGCCGAUUGUUCAGAUUGACCUGAAAGUUCCACCUAGGCCUCCUGGUUUUGCCUUUGUAGAGUUUGAAGAUGCUCGUGACGCCGAAGAUGCAAUUCAUGGAAGGGACGGCUAUAAGUUUGAUGGUCGACGCUUACGGGUUGAACUUGCACAUGGUGGGAGAGUUUCACCUUCUGUUGAUCGCUACAGCAGUGGAGGUAGUCGUGGGGGAUCAUCUAGGCGCUCUGACUACCGUGUUUAUGUCACUGGAUUACCGUCUUCUGCUUCAUGGCAAGAUCUGAAGGAUCACAUGCGUCGAGCUGGUGAUGUUUGUUUCUCUCAAGUUUUUCGUGAUCGUGAUGGCAUGAGAGGGAUUGUGGACUACACAAACUAUGAUGAUAUGAAAUAUGCGAUAAGGAAGCUUGAUGACUCAGUUUUCCGUAACCAGUUUUCUAAGGCCUACAUACGAGUAGAGGAGUAUGAUCGAAGGCACAGUUACUCUAGAAGUCGAAGUCCAUAUUAUUCAAGAAGUAGAAGUCCAAGUCGCAGCCCUAGCUAUGAUAGCAGGAGCUGGAGUUACUCUCCUAGGGAAAAAUAUUCCCGUAGGUCUCGGUCCAGAUCUAUAUCCUCACGAUCCCGUUCUGAGUCAUCACUUACCCCUGCUUCAAGAUGUGGAUUCCACCACGGCGUAGGGGCAUGAUUGUAAAUUGGGCGCAAAGUUGGCUGUCUGGGGACUUGACUGAAUAUAUAGAGGAAUUAGUUUUGCAGAUGGCGAGAAGCCGUGGAGUGGUGUAAGCGAAGAAAACCCGCAUGGAAAUAUGAUCUCGGUCAAGAUCUCGUACACCACCAUCAUCUGCUCGUCGCCAACGGAGUGCUAGGAGCCCAAGUCGGAGCAUUUCUGGUUCUCGUUCACCACCAUCGGUGAGAUCUGAUUAAAAACAGAAGAUGCUGGACUACACAUGGAAGGAGACUGCCACUAUAUCCUGUACUAAUGUUUGUCCUAUUUCCAAAGGAACAAGUUAGCUAAACUAGUGUGUAAAACUUGAUUAAACGAUAUGUUUUUUGUGUUGUGUUUUCUAAAUACUCUAUCCUAGUGUUGAAGAUGAUCUAUUAGACACUAGUAAAUUAGUGUAACAUGGAUCGAUCGCGUCUUUAGUCUUUACGGUGGGGUUUGCCAUUUGGUUGCCUUUUUUGA